AUUGAACGCUGGCGGCAGGCCUAACACAUGCAAGUCGAACGAGUGGCGGACGGGUGAGUAAUGUCCGGGAAACUGCCUGAUGGAGGGGGAUAACUACUGGAAACGGUAGCUAAUACCGCAUACCAUCAGAUGUGCCCAGAUGGGAUUAGCUUGUUGGUGGGGUAACGGAUCACCAAGGCGACGAUCCCUAGCUGGCCUGAGAGGAUGACCAUCCACCCUGGAACUGAGAAACGUACCAGCCUCCUACGGAAGACAGCAGUGGGGAAUAUUGCACAAUGGGCGCAAGCCUGAUGCCGCCAUGCCGCGUGUAUGAAGAAGGCCUGCGGGUUGUAAAGUACUUUCAGCGGGGAGACGUUACCCGCAGAAGAAGCGCCGGCUAACUCCGUGCCAGCAGCCGCGGUAAUUC
rnacentral:rRNA from 1 species